AAAAGUUAAUAACUGGAAAAAUGGAAUUAAAAAACAGACAAAAAUUUUUUUUGUUAGAGAUUGCACAGAUGUAAGUUACAUUUCAAUAAAUAGAACAACAUAGCAUAGGGGAAAAGAGGAAAAAACUACACACCUUUUCCAUAGAGGGACAGGAUUAAUAUAAAGCAUCACUGUUGGCUCAUAGCUUUGUUAUUCUGUGAUCCUAACUACACAGAAAGCUGUGACAGUGAAAAGCAGUCCCCACAUCAAGCAUCUCUACAUACACUCUGAACGAAUACUCAGUGCAUCAGUAGUUAAGGUUUUUAAUAUUACAAAUGAGAUUGCUUCUUACUUGUUCAUUUAUGCAGCCUAAGUCAAUUAACACAUUUCCCAAUGCUUACUCUCAAUUUCUGUACUUAUGAGGACAUGAACUGGUAACAAAGUUUACAGACUGGCACUGGCCGAGAACUGCACGUAGAAUUGUGCUGCCCAGGAGCAAAUCAGGAGGCCCCCGAGCUCCUGAAGCAGUGCAGCAAGGAGGGCAUGGCCGGGAGGUCAGGUUUACCCUUGGGGGAACCAGUUCCAGCCAAACCGCACCAACCUGUGGCAGGGAAAGUUCCCCAAGGGUGACAGAGCUGAGGACGGCUUCCAUGGCGUCUCUCCAGUGAAUGCUUUCCCCCCACAGAACAACUACG